rnacentral:rRNA from 1 species
UACGUAGGGGGCUAGCGUUGUCCGGAUUUAUUGGGCGUAAAGAGCGUGUAGGCGGCCAGGUAGGUCUGCUGUGAAAACUCGAGGCUCAACCUCGAGACGUCGGCGGAAACCAUCUGGCUAGAGUCCGGAAGAGGAGAGUGGAAUUCCCGGUGUAGUGGUGAAAUGCGUAGAGAUCGGGAGGAACACCCGUGGCGAAGGCGGCCACCUGGGCCGACCCUGACGCUGAGGCGCGAAGGCGUGGGGAGCGAACGGG